CUUUAUUUUGAAUAUAAAGUUUAUGGACUAGAUUUUCUCACCAAUCUGUAAACAAGCAUGGCGGCUAAAUCAUGAAGUGAAUAAUUAUGCACAAAUAUUGCCUUGUUUUUACAAAGUUGUCAAUUAUAUUGGCUUAAUUCGGAGGACUUCACCAUGUCGGACAGUGGCCCUUCCGGUGGGAUGUCGUUCCCGCAGAAGGUGCACACUGAGGACGAGGACUUUGUGAUAGAGCUGGAUGAUCACCAUCUGGAUGGGGCCCACGAUGCUUACGGCAUGGACGAUAGGUCACGGUGCAAGCGGAGAAAGCGCUGUGGACAGUGUGGCCCAUGCCAAGUAAAAGAAAACUGCAUGAAGUGCCAUUUCUGUGUCCGAAAAGAUGUCCUGAAGCAGACAUGCAUUUAUAGAAAGUGUAUCUAUUUGAGGUCAAAACCGAAGCCAUACAGUCGUCCACAUCAGAGUCCACAAGGUGGGAAUGUUUCUCCACAAAGGGCUCAUGGUCAUCCAUCCCAGGUUAAGUCCCCACCGCUUGGUUCUCAUUCUGGGAUGGCUUUUCACGACGCUGGUGGCCACCUGCCUGAUGCCCGUUCAGAAAACCCAUUCUUCCCCUCACAGCUACCUCAGCAACCCUCCAUGGUACACGGUGCCCAUCCCAACAAUGGGUACCUGUCGCCACCAAAUCCCGUAUUGGAGAGAACGGCAGCUCUACCAAAUGCUGCUGGCAAUAAUUCAUUAAAUAUGCAAAUGAACAUGAGUCCACAUCAACAUGUCCAGGCAAAUGCAACUUCUCCCCCAGUCCAGAAGCCAGAUCAUACAUCGCCCGUUAUGCCACAGCCUGUAAACAGCCCAUUGGCAGCUGGCAUGCCUGGUCUUCAUGCAACUCCAAUGUCAUCUUGCAGCAGUGUACCGCAUAUGUCUGCAUCCCUGUCGCAUGUUGGACCCACAAUUCCGCUUGUUAUGCAACAGAUGUCAAAUAAUUCACUGUCUGGAUUACCAACCCUGCCCACAAUGGGCAACAUACCGGGCUUAGGAGACCGGUCGUUAAAUGAUUAUCGUUCUGUUGACCAGUUUCCAUUAUCAGGGCACCAUCCUCAUUUUCCAUCUGUUCAUCCCCACAUGACCCAGCGAGAGCCCAGUGGUUUAUUCAGUGAUCAUGCCAGAAUUUCGCACAUGAACUAUAACCAUACUGCCAAUCACCUAGACACAUUAGGACGAGGACCAAAUGACUCUUCGUGCAUGUAUCAUCCAGGAUUAUCAUAUUCAAUGCCUGGACCAUUCCAGCCAAGUGGACCAUCGUUUUUCACGGGCCCUGCAGAUAUGAAUCCAUUUCGAUCAAACUUUUUAAACUCGUUUCCUCCAGGGUAUUCGUAUCCUCCGGACAGAUAUCGGGAGGGGUUUGGAACCCUCCCUUUUUCUAGGCUAGGAAUUACGUCCCCUACAUCAUUCCCACAGUACCCUGGACAAGGUGGAGGAUACAGAGUGGGUAACGCGUUGUCACAACAAUAUUACAAUUCACAGCACGGGUGUCCAAAAAACGGCUCGCGCCCUCCUGUUUCACCCAGCAUUGACGAUGUGAAGGUGAUUCAGGAAGGGUAUAACAAAAAUAGUAGUCAAAAGUCUACUGCAAAUGAAAAUGACGUCCCCAAACAGUGUAAAAAUAGAAAAAAUAGUGAGUUUGAGUUUAUUUCUCCAAAAGGGAGAGAGAAAAAAAUGAAGAAAGAAAAAUUGGAUAAUUCACCUCGUGAUCAGCUGUUUUCCUCGAUGGCUCAUCUUCAGCCAUGGAAUGAUCUGUUUGCCCAUCAUGCUAUGUUUGGUGGGGAUCCCCUAUCUCCGAACAAUCUGGCAAUGUCUCAGAUUGAAAGGUGGCGGUUGUCUCCAUGGUACAAUUCUAGAAGUGAUGAUGUGAGAAGUCGAGCAAGUACAAGCACACUUUCAUCAGACUUUGAGUGUGAAGUGAUUGGUAUUGAUGACCAGCAAGUUAAUGCGCUUAUCAGAUCUGAUGGUUGUAAUAGUAUUGAAAUAGAAUUUGACAAUAGGUCCAUCAGUUCAACAGAUUCGUCUCCGAGAAAGAUGUUAUGUCGUAGCUCCCUUUCUUGUGAAGGUCUGAUCUCUCCAGAUAAAAAUCUCCAGCUGCCUUUUAACAGACCACUCUCCCCUGAGCCAAGGUCGUUCUUUCAUCCUUGGAAUAAUCGAAGCCCAAUUACCAUGAUGAGUGAACAAGAGAUGAUGAAGAGCUUUAAAAAAGCAUUUAAUAUACCGGAUUCUUUUUCUACCUCUAAAAAGAAUGGUGGCAUUAGUUCAGACACUUUCAAAUACAAUCUUGGUCAUAAUCAAACUACAGAUAUGAGAAAAGGUUCAGCAUUGAUUGAAAAUGAAAAACCAAAAACCAAAACCUUUGUGAAAGAAAGUGUCUGCAUUAAGCAAGAUCUUGGAGAAGAAGGCAGCGUUCAGUUAGAGUUGCCAGGCAAUAAGGUCACUAUUGAGAAUAUUGUGUUCACUGAAGAGCUUCUGAAGAACAGUAGUGACAUUGAGGAGCUGAGGAAAUUCAUAUCAAAUUCGCAAGGCAGCACUGACCAAAACCACGUAAAUGAUUGAACAACUUGUAAAAUUGUGUCUUGUUCUAUGAAAAUUUGGCAAAAUGCGUGUGCGUAAAGUGUCGUCCAGAAUUAGCCUGUGCAGUCCGCAAAGGCUUAUCAGGGACGACACUUUCCACUUUAAUAGUAUUUUUCGUAUAAAGUAAGUCCCUUUUUACCGAAAAUCUAGUUUAAGCGGAAAUUGUCAUCCCUGAUUAGCCUGUGCGGACUGCACAGGCUAAUCUGGGACGACACUUUACGUAUAUGCAUUAAGCCCAGUUUUCUCAGAAUUCAUCAAAUCCUUCAAGUUUGUACUGUGUUUUUGAACAAAAAUGUGUAAUGAUUUUGUUUGACAUAUGCAGACCUUUCCAAAGCCAAUUGUAUUGUUGUAUCAGUAUUGAGCUUAAACCUAAGACCUAAAUGCAUUUAACAUAACAACUUAAAUGUUUGUCUAUGUUUAAAAGUACGCGAACCAAUACAAGUAAACUUUUCUCUUUUGCUUUAUUGAAACACUUUAAAAAAAUUGAAGCUAAUGUCAAACUUGUGAACACCAUGUACAGGUCUUACAAAUUGCUAAGGUUUAUGGCUAGUUUUGCUCAUGAGGUCAGUCCGCAUUACAACAGUCAUAAACAUGACAACUUCUUAACAAACCUUUGUUCAUACAUUAGUCAUUACUCAUCUGUUUCACAGGUAAGUAUUGCUUUGUUGAAGUAUGGUUUGUAAAGUUAAUUUGUGUUUGUCUGUUUGUAUGAAUUAUUAAACACCAUUAAAAUAAAACGAUCAUACACCAGCUUAAAAAUAAGGACACUAGUUAUUCAUAUACAUUGUAUUUAGUAUAAGCAGGUGAUAAAUAAUGUCAAUGUUACCAGCAUAUAUGGUAUUGAACAAUUUACAUGUAUUUUGUUUUUGUCUAUGUUGUGAUGUUUUAAAGCAUGGUUAGUGAAAAAAACUAUUUUAUGUUUGACCACAUUUAAAUGGUACAUGCUUAGUAAAAUAUGUAUUUUGUGACACAAAAGUUAUAGAACUUGACUGUAGUGAUCUGAUUUGAAAAUUAUUAUACUCUUUUUGCCAUGGGCUCUUCAUAAUAGGCUAGAUGCGGUAUAACUUGUUUGAUGUUCACAUGUGGAUUUAUUGUAAAUAAUGUAGAUAUAUUAUGGUAGUCAUUGUGACAAGAGUAUUUGUAAAAAAUAUAUAUAUUGCCAUAUUUUAAUAAUUAUUUUCUCUUUCAAGUCUCAACAUCAAUUCUCUUACUCUUCUCCACAUAACCAGACAGAGUUGUCUGAGUUUAACAAAUAUUUGGAACGCUUUGUGCACAGUCAUGUUUGAAAACACGACAAGUGAAAUGUUUUUCAAACACUUUUUAAAUAUUCCUUUUGAUUGAAAAUCAUACACCUGAUUUAACCCAUUUAUGCCUAGCGUCUAGGAAAAAGGCCCUGGCAACCAGCGUAGAACCAGAUGAGACGCCGCAUGAUGCGGCGUCUCAUCAGGGUCUACGCUGUUUGCUUAGAGGAAUUUCUGUAAGAAAUAUUCUAAAUAUAGAAAUAAAUAUACUAGACAUCCCUAAUUUUGGAAAUAAAUUGAUCCAAUUUAGAAGAAUGGGACAGUCCAAUCGGCAUAAAUGGGUUAAACAAGUCUAGAUUCUUGUUUUGCCUCUGAAUUUUAAAUGUUCUUUUCUUUAUUUAAUUUACAGAAGAAACAAAAGGUAAUUUAUCCAUUUCCAAGCAAUGAAUUGGUCCAGGAUUUAUUCUUUUUUUAAUUAGGAUUUUAUACCUAUACACAUGUUGUUUUAUAGAAUUUCUGGUAGUCUUUGAAUUGCUUUACAUCCGUUAUUUCGUUUAAAACAAUUUAUGUGCUGUGUGUAUUCAAAGAAAUGUAUAUGUCAUGAACUGUUGACAUAGUGCUUUUGUGUUGUUAUUUUCUAUCUGUGUCUUGUAUUGAAAGUAAAUAAUAUUAAGUUUUGUUUGAUUUCAUUUUGUUAUCUUGAAAUGAAUGAAGUUUUACAAGCAAAUGCUGUUGCAAUAUUGUUGAAUCAUUUUAUAAUUAGCCUUUCUUUGCUGUGUUUUAAUUGUUAUUUGCAUUCACAUAUUUCAUUCUUGUCAUUUCAAGUACAUGUAGUUUUGCUUUUGAUAUCUUAAAUUUCUUUUACGUUGUAGAGUUAUAUUUUUAGCAUUUACAUGGGAGUAAUUGAUCAGCCAAUACAAUAUUUUUAAUGUUUUAAGCUUUAUUAAGAGCGAAAUUAUUUGCAAGCUUUUGGCUUUAGUAAAAUUGUAGUAUAAUGGCGGUAAUUACAUGAACAAGCAUCAUAGGUUUGAAAAAGAAACUUCACUUUUGCUACAGAAUUUUUAAACUGGCUUGAAGGCUUUAUGUACAUAUUAUAUCUUGGUAAAUUUCAUUAUGGGCCUGAUCUGAAUUGGAACACCUAACAUUACUGAGCAAAUAAAGCAGAGACAAAUUUUUAAUGGACUAUUUACUCGGAAGAGAGUUCAGAUGCAGUAGGGAUGGCAGCAAAUAGUAUCUAAGGAUCCAAUUAAUGUUAACCCCUUUGAGAGCCCUUCCAUUAAUGAUUGUGCUCUAUGAUAUGUUUAAGUGGGAGGUAAGGAAGGCGUCUAUAGAUUUUGAGGUCAACAGGUCAAACGUCAAGCUCAUAGUAACUUUUAACACAAAAUUUGUUUUCUAGCCAAAAAGUUGCUUGUGUUGAAAAGACGACACCUUUUGAUUUUUUGGUCCAAUGUCAAUGUUGGAGGGCUUACAACACAAAAAAACUGUUAAAUCAUUGCAUAAUUUGGCACCUUGGUGGCAUCCUUGGUUCCCAACAGGUCUUGUUAGAUGUGAAAGUUGAACUGUUGCAAGUAGUGAUAUUCAGAUAACAAAAUGCGGAUAUAGUUUCUGAAACUUUUUAUGCCUUUGGAUCAAAUGAUCGAGGGGAAUAUUGUUUUUGGCCUGUCUGUCUGAGUGUCUGUCACUAAACUUCAACCUUGGUCAUAACUUUUGCAAUAUUGAAGAUAGCAACUUGAUAUUUGGCAUGCAUGUGUAUCUCAUGGAGCAUCGCAUUUUGAGUGGUCAAAGGUCAAGGUCAUCCUUCAAGGUCAAAAGUCAAAUAUAUGGCUUUAAAGCGGCGCAAUAGGGGGCAUUGUGUUUCUGACCAACACAUCUCUUGUUAAUUUUAUUCUUCAGGAAAAUUAACACAAUAAUUCUUUUUUACUUUAUGGAAUUUAACUGGAUCUUGGAAUGUCCUAUGACUGCGUAGAAUGCAUGUACUGUGAAUUUUUAAAAAAAGUAUAUGGGCGCUGUAAGCCUCUUGUAGAUUGGAAUAAGUUCUCAGGCAAGCGAGUCAGCCUUUGUUAUGUCCCCCACUAUAGUAGUGGGGGACAUAUUGUUUUUGCCCUGUCUGUUGGUCUGUCUGUUGGUCUGUUUGCGCCAACUUUUAACAUUUUGCAAUAACUUUUGCUAUAUUGAAGAUAGCAACUUCAUAUUUGGCAUGCAUGUGUAUCUCAUGAAGCUGCACAUUUUGAGUGGUGAAAGGUCAAGGUCAAGGUCAUCCUUCAAGGUCAGAGGUCAAAUAUAGGUGGCCAAAAUCGCUCAUUUUAUGAAUACUUUUGCAAUAUUGAAGAUAGCAACUUGAUAUUUGGCAUGCAUGUGUAUCUGAUGGAGCUGCACAUUUUGAGUGGUGAAAGGUCAAGGACAAGGUCAUCCUGCAAGGUCGGAGGUCAAAUAUAUGUGGCCCAAAUCGCUUAUUUUACGAAUACUUUUGCAAUAUUGAAGAUAGCAACUUGAUAUUUGGCAUGCAUGUGUAUCUCAUGGAGCUGCACAUUUUGAAUGGUGAAAGGUCAAGGUCAUCCUUCAAGGUCAGAGGUCAAAUAUAUGUGGCCCAAAUCCCUUAUUUUAUGAAUACUUUUGCAAUAUUGAAGAUAGCAACUUGAUAUUUGGCAUGCAUGUGUAUCUCAUGGAGCUGCACAUUUUGAGUGGUGAAAGGUCAAGGUCAUCCUUCAAGGUCAAGUAUAUGGGUCAAAAUUGCGAAUGUAAUGUCACUUCUGCAAUAUUGAAGCUAGCAAUUUUAUAUUUGAAAUGCGUGUGUAUCUCAAGGAGCUGAACAUUUUGAGUGGUGAAUGGUCAAGGUCAAGGUCAUCCUACAAGGUCAGCAUCAUAUAGGGGGACAUUGUGUUUCUCAAACACAUCUUGUUAACUACUGGGUGUCACUACUAACUACUGGGUAUCCCGCUAAAACAUUUCCAACUGAAUAACCUGGAUGAGUAGAGAUCAUUAAGAAAGGACUUAAGGCUUCAAUGAUUUUUGCACUGUUUGUCCACUUUAUAAUAUUUUAUGACUGAAGCUUUUCUUCACUUUCAUUUUAAUUUAUAGGUAGAUCUUGCUCAUUUUUUUCAGUUGAAUUAUGUGGAUGAUUGCAAAGGAAGGAAAUUUGGCUGAAACAAUAUUAGGGUCCCAGGGAAUAAUCUAGAAUUUACUAUCUAUGGGUCCCUGAACUAGCAGAUUUUAGACCAAUGAGUCCCAGGCCAAAAUUAAUGAGUCCAACUUGAAAAAGAAUGGGUCCCAAAUUUUGAAAGAUACCAAGCUGUGAAGAACAUUUAAGUGACACUAGCUCAAUAACUAUAUUUUGCAUUAAACUUUUAAUAAUCUCUAAAACAGCGAAUUUUGAAACCAAAAAACAAAUUCAGGGUUAUUACUAUCUUGUGUGCCUUCACAUAGGCUAUAAGUGUCUGUUACAUGAAUGUAACCUGUUACAAAAUUUCAACUUUAUUCAAGUCAAUGAUAAUAUUAUUGUUAACAUUCGAAUUGCGAGCCUGAUAAUAUUAUUGUUAACAUCCGAAUUGCGAGCCGUUGACCUACUGUUUUAAAGUUUAGAGUUGUUUGUUUUGGAUCUAGCUUCAACACCUUAUUUCGGAGGCAUUACUUCUGUACUAUUUAUGACUAAGUUACAAAAAGUUAAAGUAGGCCUUCAUCCGGGGACUCUAGAAUAUAUCAUAACACACUCUAUUUAAAAGGUCAAUUCUAAUUGGUUCGUAUUAUACAGCAGCGGCUCAACAAGAGCCAAUCAAAAGACUUGUUGCAGUCUUCAAGCCUCAUUCGGUUAAACUCAGCGUUCAUCGCUACACUUUUGACUCAUACCCCAGAUGGUUCUUACUAAUCGUGAUUCGCGUAUGUGUUAACGGAUUCGGUUCAGCAAUGCGUCCAAGUGGACGCACAUAUUUCAAAACUAUGCGUCCAUUUCGAUAUUUGUGCGUCAUAGACGCGGAACGCGCAUGUAGAUUAUUCCCUGGGGUCCUUUUCCGUUUAAUGACAGUAACAUGUCUUUUAUGUAGAUGAUGAGAAUUAUAGCCCAGUGACAGUUUUCCACGAAAGAACAUUAAAAAAAAAAAAAAAGAACACUUAAGACCCAUUACACUUUGGGUGGUUUUAUUCACUUUUUGGCGGCGGGCGGCGUCCACAGCAGUGUCAGCUCUCAUUCAUAAAGUUUUCAUCCGGUCUUCACCAAACUUGGUCAGAAGUUGUAUCUAGACAAUAUCUAGGUCAAGUUUGAAUAUGGGUUAUGCCGGGUUUCAAACUAGGUCAAAGGGUCAUUUAGUGCAUUUCUAGUAUUAAGCUUGGUGUCCGCUCUCUAAUUGAAGUAGUUUUCAUUCGAUCUUCAACAAAUUUGAUCAGAAGUUGUUACUAAAUUAUAUCUAGGUCAAGUUCAAAUAUGGGUCAUGCCGGGUAAAAAACUAGGUCCCGAGGUUACUUAGUGCAUUUCAAGCAUUAAGCAUGGUGUCCGCUCUCUAAUUGAAGUAGUUUUUAUCCGAUCUUCAACAAAUUUUGGUCAGAAGUUGUAUCUGGACAAUAUCUAGGUGAAGUUCGAAUAUGGGUCGUGCCGGGUUUAAAACUAGGUCAAAGGGUCAUUUAGUGCAUUUCUAGGAUUAAGCAUGGUGUCCGCUCUCUAAUUGAAGUAGUUUUCAUUCGAUCUUCACCAAAUUUGAUCAGAAGUUGUUACUAAAUUAUAUCUAGGUCAAGUUCAAAUAUGGGUCAUGCUGGGUUAAAAACUAGGUCACUGGGUCACUUAGUGCAUUUCAAGGAUUUAGCAUGGUGUCCGCUCUCUAAUUGAAGUAUUUUUCAUCCGAUCUUCACCGAAUUCGGUCAGAAGUUGUGUCUAAAUGAUAUCUAGGUCAAGAACAAAUAUGUGUCUUGGCGGGUCAAAAAAUAGGUAACAAGGUCACUUAAUGAAUUUCAAGCGUUUAGCAUGGUGUCCGCUCUCUACUUGAAGUAGUUUUCAUCUGAUCUUCACUGAAUUUGGUCAGAAGUUGAGUCUAAAUGAUAUCUAGGUCAAGAACAAAUAUGGGUCUUGCCGGGUCAAAAACUAGGUCACUUAAUGCAUUUCAAGCAUUUAGCAUGGUGUCAGCUCUCUAAUUGAAGUAGUUUUCAUCCUGUCUUAACCAAAUUUGGUCAGAAGUUGUGUCUAGAUUAUAUCUAGGUCAAGUUCAAAUAUGUGCUGCUUAAUUUUCAAAAAUAUAUCAUUUUGCCACUCAAAUGGUAAAGCUAUCAAGUUGUCCAAAACCUUCAAACGGGCGUAUCUUGUGACAGUUUGGCACUCUUGUUAACUAAUGCAUAAAACUCACUUAAACUUUUACAGUUGAAUGAUCUUUUUUUGAAGAUCAUCGUCAAGGAAGAUUUGUGGGCUAUUGUCUUUUUGUCUUGUAUAGAAUAACUAGUGGGUUUGUUUGUGUUUAAACAUGUGCUUUGGGGCCAUCAGUGUCUGUUACACAUUUCCAGUCACCUCAAAAAUUUCUUUUCUCUGUGCAUCUUGUGUACAAACACAAGCAAAUUCUGCUAUUUUUUUUGUCAUAUCUUGUGCUCAUCCCACUCAACAAAGGUGUAAAGGGGUUAUCUAUGUUUAAGUUGGCUGUCUGUUGUUGUUAUCCGAAUGUCAGAUUUCCAAAUCGGGAACAUAUCAUAAAAAAACUAAAACUCAUGUUUGCAGGUUGAUAUCAUUUAGGUGUUGUAAAAUGCACUUGCACCAUAACUUGUGUUCCCCCUUUAUUGCACAUUUUUGUACUAAGAUGUUGAGCUGAGCUUUUCAUGAAAACUAUUAUAGGUAUCAAAUAGAAACUAACACAGUUAGGUAUAUCUUUGUUAGGGGAUGAACAGUGGUGUAGUGGAUAUGGUGACCGCCUAGCGGGAGGUCACAGGUUCCAUCCCCAUGUGGAAGCGGUCUUUAGAUUUCCCCAAUAGACACCAAGUACUGGUUCUAGUCCUAGGAAAAGGACUCGAAAGUGUUUCGUAUAAGCCUUAGGCUUUCUAUUCAAUUGAGCUAAAAUAAAUAGGUUUAAACUAAACUAACAGUGUGGAAAGUGCAGUGCAUUAGAGCCAAAAAUUAUGCUGUCAUACUUUCAAUUUUAUAGCCCUUGUGAAUUUUCAUGUUGAAAUUUUGUACAUGGGUUAUCUCAACUUUGAAGUAUCAAUGCAAUAAACUUGUAGGCAUGACAGUGACAGUUCUAAUUGGGUCUCACCGUCUGAUAAUGCCAGUAACAGCAGGGCUCAACAUUAACCUAAAAACCAACUUGCCCUGCUGGGCAAGUACUUAGAAAAUCUACUUGCCCUGAACGUAAAGCCAUUUGCCCAAACAUGAAAUAUCACAUUAACUGUUAACCUCAUAUUUUGUAAUGAAGAUCAAAAUGACACACCACAAAACCUUUUUUAUUUUUGCACAUUUAACAAAAUGAUUACAGCAAUUAAAGUCUAAUUAAAGUCUAAAUUAAAUGCUUUGUUCUUUUUUGCACUUGCCCGGUUGGACAACUAGAUUAUAAAAUAACUUGCCUGGACCCACCUUUUACUUGCCAGGGGCAAUAGGACAACCGUUAAUGUUGAGCCCUGAACAGCGUGAUUGACAAAUCAAACUGAUUCCUCUUUGUAGAUACAUGGUAUUGUCUAGAUAUUGUAAGGGACAUCUGCAUGGUUUCAUCUUUGCCAGGAGUUUGGUGAGCGCCUUAGGCCAUAAAGAUUCUGCUAUAUGCUAUUGAGAACCCUGUAGAACACUUACUAAGCUUAUCCUUGUACAUAUCCAUGUGCACAAGCUAUAUUGUCCCCUACCGGUGAAACUGGAGGGAACUUAUGGUUUGCACUCUGUCUGCCAGUCUGUCUGUUAGUCAGUCACACUUUUCUGGAUCCUGCAAGAACUUAAAGUUCUUCGUAUUUUUUCGUGAAACUUGAAACAUGGACAGAUGGCAAUAAGGACAUUAUGCACGGCAUUUCAUUUUGUUCCUACGACAAGAAUUCUGGAUGCUAUCGCAACAAAUACAAAAAUAUAAAAAAAUCUGAAAAUAGUGGAGUUUCACUGGUAGGGGACCAUAAUGCUUUUAAUGUCAUAUUUGAUCACUGCAGUGCUAAUAUUUUGGCCCAAAACCACCUUGCAGAAAUUAUGUAAUCCUUACCAACUAGUGUCAUUUAUUCAGAAUCAAAUAGGACGGGCCCCUGAUACCAUUUUUUCAGAUUCUCUGUAGUGCUUACCAUUUUAAGCAUUUCAGAAAUGCUGUAAGCUCAUUUGAAUUUUUGAUUGGUGGAAAGGCUGACCCAAAACAGUUGUGGUUACCCAAGAUUAAUAUUUAAGAAUAAGUAAUUUCAGAAAGUCAAUAGUGCUUGCCUAAAAAUGACUUAUUUUCGAAAGUGCUUGUACAUUACUGUUAAUUUUGAAUUGCAGAAUAGUUAUGCUUUUUUACCUUGAAACAUCAUGAUUAAAUUAUUGAUUGCUUAUGUUUUGAUAACUCAACCAACACAAAAGAAGACUUGCAUAAAUGCCUUAUUGACAUGUCAACAUUAAAAGUGCACAUCAAAAAAAAAAUAUUUUGAAAAUUGUCAAUGACAUACACAAAUAAAAAAAUGCUUUAAACCAUAAUAAUAAGUGUAAGAUUAAAACUCACAUGCCUGGUCUGGCCUUAAAUCCUUCUUAUUUUAGAACUCUGGACUAUUUUGGAUCUUUGAUUUUUUCACUUGAGCAAUACAAAGGUGACAAAGGUGUGGAAACAUGGUUGUUAAAUUGUACAAGAGGGUUAAACAAUUCUCCCAUGUUGUCGGACUAUUCUUGUUUGUUUUU